CAUCAAGUUUCUAAGUGCAAACGGUGAAUGCCUUGGCUUCUGGAGCCGAAGAAGGACGUAGAAAUCUGCGAUAAGCCUCGGGGAGUUGAUAAUCGAACUGUGAUCCGAGGAUUUCCGAAUGGGGAAACCCCGCCAGGCGUAGCAAUACGACCUGGUGACUCCCGCCUGAAUAUAUAGGGCGGGUAGAGGGAACGUGGGGAAGUGAAACAUCUCAGUACCCACAGGAAGAGAAAGCAACCGCGAUUCCGUUAGUAGUGGCGAGCGAAACCGGAACAGGCUAAACCGAGUACGUGUGAUAUCCGGCAGGAGUUGCGUAUUCGGGGUUGUGGGACUUUUCAGACAGUUCUGCCGAUCUGUCGGCGUUACAAGAAGGUAUAGACGAACGGUCUUGAAAGGCCGGUCAUAGAGGGUGCGAACCCCGUAGUCGAAAUGCUUCUCUUGGCGCGAAGAGUAUCCCAAGUAGCACGGGGCCCGAGAAAUCCCGUGUGAAUCUGUCAGGACCACCUGAUAAGCCUAAAUACUCCCAGAUGACCGAUAGCGGACAAGUACCGUGAGGGAAAGGUGAAAAGUACCCCGGGAGGGGAGUGAAAUAGUACCUGAAACCGUUUGCUUACAAACCGUUGGAGCCUCCUUAGUAGGGGUGACAGCGUGCCUUUUGAAGAAUGAGCCUGCGAGUUAGCGAUAUGUGGCGAGGUUAACCCGUGAGGGGUAGCCGUAGCGAAAGCGAGUCUGAAUAGGGCGAUUCAGUCGCAUGUCCUAGACCCGAAGCGAAGUGAUCUAUCCAUGGCCAGGUUGAAGCGACGGUAAGACGUCGUGGAGGACCGAACCCACUUAGGUUGAAAACUGAGGGGAUGAGUUGUGGGUAGGGGUGAAAGGCCAAUCAAACUCCGUGAUAGCUGGUUCUCCCCGAAAUGCAUUUAGGUGCAGCGUCACGUGUUUCUUGCCGGAGGUAGAGCUACUGGAUGGCCGAUGGGCCCUACAAGGUUACUGACGUCAGCCAAACUCCGAAUGCCGGUAAGUGAGAGCGCAGCAGUGAGACGGUGGGGGAUAAGCUUCAUAGUCGAGAGGGAAACAACCCAGACUACCAACUAAGGUCCCCAAGCGUGUGCUAAGUGGAAAAGGAUGUGGAGUUGCCGAGACAACCAGGAGGUUGGCUUAGAAGCAGCCACCCUUGAAAGAGUGCGUAAUAGCUCACUGGUCAAGUGAUUCCGCGCCGACAAUGUAGCGGGGCUCAAGUACACCGCCGAAGUUGUGGCAUUCAGAUUUUUGGUAAGCCUUCGUGGUUCAGCCGUCUGGAUGGGUAGGGGAGCGUCGUGUGGGCAGUGAAGCUGCGGUGUAAACCAGUGGUGGAGCCUACACGAGUGAGAAUGCAGGCAUGAGUAGCGAAAGACGGGUGAGAAACCCGUCCGCCGAAUGAUCAAGGGUUCCAGGGUCAAGCUAAUCUGCCCUGGGUAAGUCGGGACCUAAGGCGAGGCCGACAGGCGUAGUCGAUGGACAACGGGUUGAUAUUCCCGUACCGGCGAAGAACCGCCCAAGC
rnacentral:rRNA from 1 species